UGUCCAGGGAUGGGAAUCGAACCCACAAUGUUCCGCUUACCGGGCAGAUGCCAUGUCCACUAGGCGAUUCCCAUCCCUGGAC
rnacentral:tRNA from 1 species